GCGCGGAACCUGCUUAGAGCAUCUUGCAGACAGUGUCCCAGUGAUCUUUCAGAGAACUCUGCUUUUGUUUCAUUAAUCUAAAAGUAAAUGACCCUCAAUGCAUAGCAGGAAACAAAGGUAAAUAAAGUAAAAUAAUACAUUGUAUUUUAUUUCUUGGAACUUCAAUCACCCACCAAGCAAUAAGGUUUAACCUCAAUUAAGGAUCAGGAAGCUUAGAGUCUAGAGGGAGUGUAGGCAUUAAAUAUGUAAUUAAAGGGAUGCUACAGGCCAGAGUGCUAUUAGAGCUUCUAACAGGACAGUUUAGUUACUGGAUUGGUAAAAGGUAUUGCUCAGCAAUAAACACACCAAGUUGUAUCUGGUUUUCUAUUUCUUCAUAAUUUGUCCUGUAAGUUUUUGCUGUGACCCUUCAUCAGAUGGAGAUCACUUACCUGGCAACGUUUACUCUCUGAAAAGGAAGAAGAGCCAAAAUAAAUGCCAUAAAGAUAAUGAAUGGACUUUUCCCAUAUUACUCCUAUACUCAUAUACUCACCUCACAUUGAUCCUACUUACUUUUAGUUUGUACAUGAUCAGAUUACUGAUGAAUUCUUACUUCUGUAGAGUGUUUUACAUUUGUUGGAAUUCUUAUAAAUUAGAAGACAGAACUCAGAAAGGUUCAGAGAUGUGUCUCUGGGAUAGGAAGAAGAAAAAAGUGACAGAACCAAGUCUCAAACUCAUAUGUUUGACUAAAUCCAGUGCCCCUUCUGUUAUACCACACUACUUGUGACUUCUGGCGCCAAUCAAGGUUAGAGAGGUCACAGGUUUCACUGUAUGAGAAAGGAUCAUCAGCACAUUCUAAUGAUGCAGGUAUCAGUGACAUGAUUGAUUCUUAAUUAAAGGGGACAUUUAGGAAUAAGGAAUUAAAUGGGAAAAGUUGGAUCCACUGCUAAUAGUUCCCUAAGAUUCAGUCCACUUUAGUGUCAGCUUUUUGCCACCAGCAGGGCUGCCAGGAAUUAUGGGGGAUCCCCUGGGAUUUCUCCCUGGGCUGUAAUCUGGAAUGGCAGGCUGCAAGCCAGCUUCCCAACAGCAUCUUUGGUUGUUGGGAAUGGGAAGGCCUUUGAAUUUGGUGCCUCUUAUAUGUCUUCUAUACGGGAGCCCCACAAAAAUUUCCUGUAUAAGUGUUUACAUUUUACUGAAAUUGGGUCAUGUUCAUUUUUGGUUUAUUGAUGUCAUUGAAAUCUGGCUGGAACAGUGUAUUAGGAAAGAGUUUGGCUACAAAUAACAGAUAACCCAACUAAAAUUGGCUUCGGUCAGUGGGCCCUAUUUGUUUCAAGAAUUCACGGGGAGUCCAAGGUGGGAGCAGCUACUCACAGAUCUCAUCGCAGACCCGAAACCCUCUGUCUUUCCCCUUGGCCAUCCCGAGCCUGUGUCUCUGUCCUCGUGGUCCCAGGAUGGCCAUGCCCCCAGCCCCCAGUCGGUGUGUCCAGGCCCUGCAUGUGGGGAAGAAGGGGCACUACGGGGCAGAGAACAAAGGGAAGCCCUCCCAGGGACUCCCACCUACAUCUUACUGCUUGGAACUGUCACCUGGUCACCUGGAGCUGUAACAGAGACUUUACUUAUCAUUACUAUGGGUCUGAAGUAGAGAGGAGGCACAUCAAAGUCUGGGCGUCCAAGCAUCCUGACUGGGAGUCUGCAAUUUGCCUUUCAAGUACAUAGGGCCUUACAUGGAGAGAGAUUGAGUGGAGUCCUUCUGACAGUGGAUCUGUUCUGAAAAUAGUCUAACAAAUAGCUCUGUAGGGGUAAAGCCCCAAAUAGCUUCUCAUUCCUUGAUGCUACACCACUAAGUCCACGCCUUCUUAUUUCUCUCUGUAGAAAUAAAGUAGUGUUAAUUAUUGUCUGUGGUAGUUAUUUCAGCCUCUUUCCAGAGAUACUCUUUCCUUCAGUCCCUUCUGAGGCCUCCACGCCAUCUGUGCGUUACAGAGCCCUGGAAAGCCCAGCAUCCUACAGAGAAAGGCCUUCAAGUGCUGGACCUCAGUCCUGUGUGUGCUGCCCCUCAACCAGGCUUUUACAGCCCAACUGUGAUCACUGGGGGCAAAGGCAGGAUUGAAGCAGACGAAGGCACAGUGGAUGUCUGAGAAGGCAGAAAGGAAUGUUAGUAUUAAAGCCGUGUUCACAGGAAGUGAGUGUUCUCUGCCCAAGACAAGUUUAUGGUAACUUGAGUCUACUUGAAAUAUGAGCGACUUCUUAAAGGUCAUUAACAGAUCAAGACUUUUUUCGGCUGCCUUUGCUCUAUUUUGCUAAAUUAAUUGUAAGCAGAAAUUCCUUGUGGUGGGAUGAUGAGCUUGACCAGCUCUGAAUUGUUUUGUAUUUCAAGUUUUAACAAUCUAAGCAGAAUGUAUUUCCUGUGUCUAAAGUUUUCACCAUAACUGAGUUAUGUUAUCUUCAGGAAGAUUAGGAAGAUUUGGCAGGGGAUGGAAGAAUUCUGUGUGUGUGUGUGUGUCUGUAAGAGAGAGAGCAAGAGAGAGAGGGAACAAGACAGGGAGAGGUUGUUUUUUAGUAGUAAAACCUGAAGUCACUGUGUGUUGCUUGUCUUCUCCAGACAACCGGAAGGAUGGGUUUCCCUGGAGUGGACACAGUGCUGCCUGUCAUUACUAUUUAAGUGGGAAGAGAAAUUUAUUGACUUCACCACCACAUAAUCACAUCUGCCGUGUCACCAUGAAAUACUGGGAGAGGUUUCUGUGCACGGCACAAGGGGCCAUAAAGGUGGCUGGGAGAGAGACCAGGUGGCUGUUGUGUUCGCCUUGGAGUAGGGCUACUCCCCACCUCACAGGAUGCAGGCUCUGGUGCUUCUCCCCAGGGAACCGGCCCCUGUGUUCCCCAGGCUGCUUCAGGGGGCUCUGGUUUGUCCAGAGUCCACCCAGGGGUGAGAAGAGGAUCUCUCCACAAUUUGUGGUGACAUGAAUUCCAUCACAUGGUCUUUCUGAUUCUUGCACAAAAAUUCUUUUCUUCUGGCUUGUGGUUGACAAGAAGCUCCAGCUCAGGGAGCAGAUGGGUGACAACAGCUACUAUGUGACACAAGUGUGCAUGCUUGUGAGCCAGGCCUAGUCCCCAGCCCAGCACAAAGCACACUGUAUUCAAGAAGUGUCGUAGAAUGAGGUGAUCUUCCUCCAAGAGCGUUAUAAGCAUGAUGCCUGCAAAAGUUCUGGGGCCCCAACGGAGUGCCAGGUGCUCUGCUGACUGACAAUACACACCUCUUCCCGUUUAGUCUCCAUGACUUUAUGAGCUGAGGGCUGCUCUUACUCCCACUUUGCAGAUGAGGUAAUUGGGGUUUUAAACAGCAGAGGCUUAACCACUCCACUGCUGUCUCUAUAAUUUUAUAAAUAACUGAUACACUUUCCCUAUCUUAUUUUUUAAAUAUUGAAAUAUAAUUUCAUACAGUGAAGUUCACUCUUUGCAAUGUACAGGUCUGUGAGUUCUGACAAAUGCCAGCCUGCAGCCACCACCACUGUCAAUGGGUGAACAGUCUGACCACCCACACUAGGUUCCCUUGUGCUGUUUUGUAGUCAACCCUGCCCCCCACUUCCAGUGCCUGCCAACCUCUGAUGUGCUUCCUGUCACUAUAGCUUUACCUUUUCCAGAAUGUCAUAUAAAUUGACCCAAACAGCCAUUUGAUUCUGUCUCCCUUUACUUAGAACUUAGAAUAAUGUGCUUCAUGUUCAACCGUGUUAUUUUUACACACACUUGUAACUCUGUCACCUCAUCACUUGGUUCCUUAUUAUUGCCAAGUUGUGUCCUACUACGUGGAUAUACCAGUUUCUUUUAUCCAUUCACCA